GAGAAAGGGCCGGCGGAAACCAAAAGGACGUGCUGAUUGACGUCACGUGUAUCCAGCAAAAAAUAAGUAAUUUCUAUAAACGCAGGCUGGGCGGGGCGACCAAGAGGAGCGCUCUCACUACCCGCACCUGUAGCCAUCCGAGUUAUAGCCUGCUGUCUCCCAGGCCUCCUCGUCGGAUCAAUACCUCUCGUCGACGCGACUCUACGUCACGCGCCAGCACGCUUACGCAGCCUUUGCUCCGGAUCCUGCACCCGUGACCUUCUCCUCACGAGCCUCUUGAGAAAUAAAGAUUUUCGUUUGUUGACCACAACACUUUGUCCCCGGUUCUGCUUUUGGAUCCUGUCCUCAUCAACCUUAACUACUACGCCGUACAGUGAUGACUGUAUUGUAAUAAGAUCACCUGUUGGGUUCACGCCUUAAAGAGAUGGGUGGCCAGAACGCAAAGCAAACAGACCCCUCAGGUCCAAUUGUGGAAAUGAUGCAGCGGAAAUAUGGGAUAAUGUAUGAGUGUCUCAUGCUGGACAAAAGAGUUUGGGUUUCCAGAAAACGGCUCAUUGAGUGCUGCUAAACUCAAGAUGUUUUGGAUGGAAUGAAUGUGAAUGUGGGGGAAAAACAAAUGGCUGAAGAAUAUUGUGCUUUAUGACCACAGUAUCUCACAAACCAAGGUUGGUGGACAAGAUGACCAAUGUGUUUUUUUCCUACCACGUAUCCAAGUCUAACAGAUGCUGGAGGCCCUUUUCUCAUCACAUGUCCACCAAUACCGUACCCUGCCCCAAAUGGCGAUCGGCAGCAAGAACCACUACAACUCGGUUCCAGGACACACAACCUGAUUGGCGGGAGGUGGCGGAGGAGGAGGCAUCCAUGCGGAGACCUCACAUGAUAAGGGAAGUGAAA